CGGCUCUGCUCGUCGGUAUGUGGCGAUAAUGAUCGAGUCAUUGAAUCAUUCAGAAUCAAACGAUUCUUUUACUGAUUCAAACAACAUUGCUAGCGUGUUGUAGCUGUGUUGAUUCUCUUGUGACUUAUUCUGGAAAUAUUUUCGCUGGUGGAGAAAAAUAGACAACGUAUCUGGCAAUAUUGUGUCUAAUAUAGGUGCCUGUGUGUACAUGGACAGGGGCAGCUCCUAAUAUCUACAGACAACAGAGAUGGUAGGAGCACAAAUAGAAGGACUGUGGGAACACAAGAAGUACUGGAAACAUCUCGCUCAGUAGCAUAUGUAGUUAAUCAAGCGGAAGUUUUUUUGGCUUUUUGAGAACACGUU
rnacentral:lncRNA from 1 species